AACCCUUGUCAUUAGUUGCUACAUUCAGUUGGGCACUCUAAUGAGACUGCCGGUGACAAGCCGGAGGAAGGUGGGAUGACGUCAAGUCCUCAUGGCCCUUAUAGGUGGGGCUACACACGUCAUACAAUGGCUGGUACAAAGGUUGCAACCCGCAGGGGGAGCCAAUCCCACAAAGCCAGUCGUAGUCCGGAUCGUAGUCUGCAACUCGACUACGUGAAGUCGGAAUCGCUAGUAAUCGUGGAUCAGAAUGUCACGGUGAAUACGUUCCCGGGUCUU
rnacentral:rRNA from 1 species